AUGCGUUAUUUUGUGUUUAAUGUAUUGCCAUUUGGUAUUGCAACAGCUGGGUAUAUAUUUACCAAAGUGCUAAGAGAAGUUGUCAAACACAUGAGAGCAGAAGGUAAACGUGUCAUCAUGUUUUUAGAUGACGGUCUGGGAGGAGACAAUGAUUUUGAAAAUUGUAUGAACAGUAGUUUUGAAGUUAAAAGUACACUCGAAAGAUUAGGAUUUUUAAUAGCUCAUGAGAAAUGUCAUUGGUACUUAGUCAGAGUAUGGAUCGGUUAGGUUACACAUGGGAUACCAAAAUAGGUAGAGUUUUUAUUAAGGAAUAAAGAAUUGAGAAAGCCAAAAAUAGUAUUCGCAAAUUAUGCAGAGAAACUACAAACGGUAGAUUGUUAUUCAGUGCUAGAUUUUUAGCCAGUAUUUUGGGUCAAAUAAUUUCCAUGAUGAUUGUUAUUGGUGACAAGGUGAGAUUGCACACCAGAUACUUGUAUGAUUGUAUGAUUGUAUCAUGGGACGAGCAAGUUGGGAUGCUCCUGUAAAGAUGAACCCAGAUGCUCCCACAGAAGUUUUAUUCUGGAAUAGCUCGCUCAGAAAAUUAAAUGAGCAGGGUGUUGACAUUUGCAUUUUCGAGUUGAUCAUGAUUUUGUGUCAGAUUUUGACAUUUUUUGUGACGCCUCAGAUGUAGGCUUCGGUGGUUAUUUAUCCACUCAGUGUAGCGUUGUUACUUGUGUUGACAACAGUGAAAUGUCAGGUAAUUAGACAAGUGAUGAAAAGUUGGACAGUUCAAAUUGGCGCGAAUUAGAAUGCGCAAGACGUUUAUUAUGAACUUAUGAAAGUAAAUUUAGCUUAGAUAACAAGUCGAUUAGCAUUUAUUCGGACAAUAAAAACGUUCCACAUAUACUAAAUGUUGGCAGUAAGAAAAGCAUACUACAAAACAUAGCAGUAGAUAUUCACAAUAUUUGUUCAGAAAAGAACAUUACUUUAAAUUCUAAAUGGCUACCAAGGGCAGAUAAUUAAUACGCAGACAAAUUGAGCAGAAACACUGAUAACGAUGAUUGGGGUAUUUAUGGCAAAUUGUUUAAUUAUUUCAAUGGUACAUGGGGACCAUAUAGCAUCGACAGGUUCGCUACUCAUUAUAAUACACAAUGCACACGUUUCAACUCAAAACAUUUGUGCCCAGGUUCAGAAGGCAUAGACGCAUUCUCUCAAAAUUGGGGUAACGACACAGACUGGUUAGUUCCACCACCAUCUCUUGUUCCUAUGGUUUUACAAAAAAAUCAGCAUGACAAGGCUGCAUGUACCGCUUUUUGGCCGCUGAUUUAAACAACAAAAGGUAUAGCACAUUAUAUCACUACAAAAGUCAAAAGUCUAAAAGACCAGUUUUUGUCUGAAUUGCAUGAAUUUUACUCGACAUUCUUAAUUUGUCGAAUGAUUUUUAAAAUCUUGACAUAGUAUUAAUUUGUCUAAAGCUUCUUGAUUUUUCUUGACGAGUGUCUUGACAGUAUGAACAUUGUCUUAAAAUUUCUCGACACUUCCUGUUUCAUCUGAUAAGAGUCUGGAUUAGUCUCGACCAAUUCUUGAAUGUCUUAAAUUUGUCUCGAUCUGUCUUGACAUAUUCUUGACAUUUUUAAUAAUGUGUGAAUAUGUCUUGACAUAUUCUUGACGUUCUAAAUAAUGUCUGAAUAUGUCUCGACACAUUCUUGACAGUCUUAAAUAUGUCUUGACACUAUCUCAACAGUAUAAAUUUCGCCUGAAAUAUGUACAGACUGAUUCUGCAUUGUUUAUGACAUUCUAUUGCUGUUUUAUACUCCUUUUUAUUAUGGCUAAACUACACUUUGAAGAAUCAAGGAUAAAUUUGGUAUAUUAAGAUACCUUUUUUGUGCACCAAAGUUGGAAUACCCUGAAUAAUCCCCCAUGUAGUUUAAUUUGAUUUAUUUUUAUUAAACAUUUAAUUAAUUGUUUUCACUUUCAAUAUAAGUCGAAGUAACUGACAAACAACAUUUAGAAUUUUCGCCACUCGUAAAACUGCUAGUCAAAUUUGCUUUACUAAAAUAGGUGUCUUGAAGGCAGUUUUAACAUGUGACCAUGUGUCUCUUUUGGACCCCACGAUUCAUCUUUUGGGUUUGAGUGGCUAAAAAAAGGGUAAACGGAUAGAAAGUCACGGGACAAAAAGUCACAGGACAUAAAAUCACAAAUUUGGUGGGACAAAAAGUCACAGGACAAAAAGUCACAAAUAAUUUGUUGACAAUUGUUUGAAUAUAUAAGAGAAAUAUCUUGAAAUAUUUACUUUUAAAUACAUAUAUUCAUACUUAAGUUUAGGAAAUGUGUCAUUAUACCUGAAAUAUUAAGGUUUAUUUAAUUUUAAUCAUGCAAAAGAUAUAUUUCUUGGCACUAUGAAGCCAUUUAAGUGACAACCCACUUUCACAUUUUGUUUUUUUAACAAUUAUUUGAUCAUCUUUGAAAUUUUUUUGAUAAAUAUUGUUUACAAAGUUAGUUUUUAUACAAUAGUUCCAGAAAAAUACAAAAAUAUUUUUGUAAAAAUUUUUAUUCAAAGAAAAUAAUCAGAAAAAAUGAAUUGUGACUUUUUGUCCUGUGACUUUUUGUCCGUGACUUUUUGUCUGUGACUUUUUGUCCUGUGACUUUCUGUCCUACAUUCUAAAAAAAAAAAAGGGGGAGGGGGGGGGGUUCGUGUACGUCAAAACAUUUGUUCUCAUCUUGAUUCAAAAACCUUAUCCAUUUUUUAGAACAAUCCAAAAAUAUUUUUUAUUCAAAUUUGAGUGUUGAAUUAUAUAAUUUUAUAUAAAAAAAAUUGUGAUAACUCCUUCCUGAAAAGAAAAAAAAAUGUUUAGAUCUAUAUUGUGCAUGUCUGUUUGAGAUCCAUUUCAUAAGACCGGACCCAUUAUGAAUACAUUUUUUUUUAUAUUAUUCCUGGAGUAGAUAAUAAUUUUCUUUUAAUCUUUGGAAUGGUCAACUGAUAAGUUGUAUGGCUGCUUACAGGUAAAUCAGUAAUUUCUAUUUGACAGUUGCGUGUAUUUUGGGUGUGGAAUACUGUCCAUGUGUAAUACUUAAUAUAUAUUCUAACAGAUGACAUUACACAAAUUUUUCUUCUGUUAAAUGAAUGCUUUGUAUAUCAUCAUAAUUUGUCAUUUAUAUAUAAACUACAUUUUUGUACAAUAAUUAUUUACCAUAUUAACAUUGAAUAUUAUGAAUGUAGAAUGAAACAUGUAUACAGUAUGAUUGGUUUUAAUAAUUUAAUUAAUAAGAUUUAGGAAUCAAAAUUUGAAAUUAUUUAAAAACCCACAUUUAAAUUGUUUUAUAUCAACACACUCACAUUUAAAUUAUUUUGUACAUUAGAUUUCAUAGCCAUAUUUGCAUUUGUAAAAAUAUUUAGAUACCCAAAUUUUCAAUUAUUUUACAUGCCUAACUUUCAUAUUUUUUGUAAGUAGUGUAACGUAAAACAACAGUAUAUUAUGUAAAGGGAAAUAUAUCAUGAAUAUUGGUCAUGAUUGUAAAACUCAGAACUGUCAUGUCAAGUAAAUUUAAGACACAAUUCAAAAUGUUCAGAAUAUGUCAAGCCAUACUGAGAAAAAAUAAGAAUGUCGAGAAUAUGUCGAGAAAUUUCAAGACAGUAUUUAAAUGUCAAGAAUUUUUCAAUAAAUUUUAAGACCAUAUUCAGAAUGUCAAGAAUUGUCGAGUAAAUUUCAUACAAAUUUGAUAUAAAUGAGAAUUUGUCAAGAAAAAUUAAGACACAGUCAUACUUUUGGAGAAUGUCGAGUAAAAGUUCAUGCAAAUCAAGACAAAAACUGGUCUUUUCAGACUUUUUGACUUUUGUAGUGUAUACAAGAAUAGAAUAUUUGUCUGGAAAAAGGGUGAUAGUUAAAGGAGCAGGCAAAAACGGAGUAUUCAAAAAAUUGCCAGUGAAAUUUAGAAUGCUAGCUUUGCGAAUAGUUUUUUAAUAAUACAAUAGUUAUUUGCAGGUGUGAACCUUAGACGAAACGUUGAAGCUGCUUUAGUAGAGAGUGGCGUUUCAGAGAACCGUAAGUUUUAAUAGAUGGAAGAAAUUCGCAAUCGAAAACAUUUUAAAUGAAUUGCUUGCCGAGCCUGUUCAUAUAGCACUUACAUUAAAAAAUUGAUAGAUGAACAAUGUUCUCGAAGUGUUGUAAAUUAAGCUGUAUAUUCAAUCAAAUGGGCCCAUGAUCUUAACGGUUUUAAUGAUCCGACAGAAAAUCCAUUUGUAAAAUACCUUUUAGAAUCCGCCAAAAGACGAAAUGGUAGGCCUGUAAACAAAAAGGAUCAAGUUAACAAUGACAUGUUGAUUGAUUUAUGCUCUAUGUACACAGAUAGUUCAGAUUUACUUAUAUAGGGAUCUCACUAUGAUUUUGUUGUCUUUUUCAGGUUUUCUUAGGUUCGAUGAGAUUAGUAAAUUAAGAUGCAAAGAUGUUAGUAUUUUCGAAGAUUAUUUAAAACUUGUUAUUUCUCAUAGCAAAACGGUCCAUUUAAGAUGUAUUUACGAUAUUUGUUUUAGCUGGUUUAGACGCACAAUCUGAACGACUCAUAUUUAAACCUAUUUUUAGAUCCAAAGGCGUAGUCAAACUUAUAUAUAAGAAUAAACCUAUUAGCUACACUGCAGCUAAAGAAAACAUUGUAAAGAGACUUAAGCUGGUAGCCCCAAGUUUAAAUAUUGGUCUUCAUUCUUUACGAUCGGGUGGUUCAACUGCAGCUGCUAAGUCUAAUGUAAAUGAAAGAUGCAUAAAGCGACAUGGGAGAUGGAAGACAGAUUUUGUCAAAGAUGGUUAUAUCGAAGAUACUUUAGAGAAGAGAAUUUUAGUCUCACAAAAAUUGGGUCUUUGA
rnacentral:sRNA from 1 species